GGAAGUAAAAGUCGUAAACAAGGUUUCCGUAGGUGAACCUGCGGAAGGAUCAUUAUUGUAUAACCGAGGUGCGAGGGCUGUCGCUGACCCGAAAGGUCGUGCACGCCCGAGUGCCCCCACACACAUCCAUCUCACCCCUAUGUGCACCACCGCGUGGGUCCCCCUUUGGCUUGUUCGGAGGGGGGCUUACGUUUUCACACAAACUUUGUAUGCAGUGUAGAAUGUAUUUUUUGUUUUUGCGAUCACGCAAUCAAUACAACUUUCAACAACGGAUCUCUUGGCUCUC
rnacentral:misc_RNA from 1 species